rnacentral:misc_RNA from 1 species
GCACACACGCACACCCUCCCUCCCCCUCCCGGAUAAAGGUAUACAGGUGAUCAGAAAGCGACAGAAGAGGUUGGACCGCUCGCACAGGCUUACGUAUCACUGCGACCACCACCCUCGGCGUGCUUCGAGGUCGGAUAUCACGUCCUUUACACACCCUUUCGCCCUCUCUGUCUGCGUGCGUGGCGCUUCACGGAGGUGGGUGAGCGUUGGCUGCGCGUAGCAGUGUUGUCCAUUCCACCUCACCCCACCCUUGUACACUGUCGUGCAACGAAGCACCUUGGCAUCUCCCCGCUUUCUCUCUCACGGUCUCUGCCCCCCUCUGCCAGUCCUGCGUCUCCUCCUCCGCGCACGACGAGCACACGCGCACGCGACAUCCGUUGCCGCGGGGCGCCUACCGCUUUUUUUGGAUCCCUCUUUCCCUGCACGCAUCCGUCAUCCUCCAUCACGCAGACACGCCGGCUGCACACAGAGGGAAACUGCGCGCACCCGUGCUCUGGGAGGAUGCCUCGUCGUCGUGGUGGCCGCCAAGGCUCCUUCAGUGGAUUUCGGUCCGAGCGCCGCCCCGGUACCACGUCGCACCCGCAGCAGCCGAACGGCGUCACGAACAUCUACGUUCAGCGUCCGAUGGCCGGCGGUGGCGGUGGCGGCAUCCUCGGCACGAUGGCGGCCGUCGCCGGGGGCAGCAUGCUGGGCCACGGCAUCAGCAACUACCUCUACGGCCACAGCAACCAGGCGCCGACGCAGCCGGCAGAGGCGCAGCAGCUGGCGCAGGCCGCGCAGCAGGAGGGGCACGUCUGCACGCCGCAACUUGUGGGCUACUCCAAGUGCCUUGAGGCGAACCCCGAGUCCGCCGACAGCUGCAAGUGGGCGUGGGACUACUUCACGCAGUGCCAGAGAGAGCACCCGAUGCAGCCUCCGCAGUAGCAUUGAAAGGGACAUCCUGUACAGCGAUACCGGAGAGACAGCGCGAAAACCACAGGCACACACCGGUCCCGCCGGCCGCCCUCCCCCUUCUUCUUGCGUUGCUGCACACAGUCGCCACCAGCCGUCGCCAACGCGGCAUGUGUGGCCGUAGUCGUAUCCGUCACUCCUCUCUCCUCAGCCUCCUGAGCCGCCUCGGUCUCCACAAGUCUCUUUCCACACCUGUGCCCGCUGCUUGUCAAGAUCCCCACUGCUUCUAUACUCUCGUGUGUGCGCGUGUGUGUCCGCGCUGAUGCGCUGCACGCUGCCGCACCUUCGGCGGUCUCCCUCCCCACCGCGUGUCACCGUCCACCUUCACGUGGCAACACAUCUUUAUUCUCAUUAUGGUCCUAUGCUUCCCUUGGUAUACCACACACACACACACACACACACAACGCGACCGCAUUCCCCUCCCGCCGCCACCGCCACCUCUUGUCGUCGUUACCUCCGACGCUUUCUAUUUUACUCGGUGCAGCACCUCAUACAUGCAUGCCAG